UGUGGCUGGUUUCUGGGUGGAAGACUAGUGAUUUUGUUGUUCUGACUUAUAAUUUAGACAACAAAUCGUAGCCUGCCGCCCAGCGACCACAGCCGAGCAC
rnacentral:pre_miRNA from 1 species